UUUUUUUUUUUUUACUUUGGGACACUGAUGGCUAGGACCUUAAAAAAAUUAAAUACACUGGUGCCAACCAACAAUGUUCCAAAAUUAAAAAAAAAAUACAUUGGGAGCCGAAAAUUAUACUUGGUGCUGGCCAUGUAAAAAAAUUUUAAAUACACUAAUACCGGCCAUUAGUGUCCCAAAGUAAAAAAAAAUGUCUU
rnacentral:pre_miRNA from 1 species